GAUGAACGCUGGCGGCGUGCCUAAUACAUGCAAGUCGAGCGAACGGACGAGAAGCUUGCUUUUCUGAUGUUAGCGGCGGACGGGUGAGUAACACGUGGAUAACCUACCUAUAAGACUGGGAUAACUUCGGGAAACCGGAGCUAAUACCGGAUAAUAUUUUGAACCGCAUGGUUCAAAAGUGAAAGACGGUCUUGCUGUCACUUAUAGAUGGAUCCGCGCUGCAUUAGCUAGUUGGUAAGGUAACGGCUUACCAAGGCAACGAUGCGUAGCCGACCUGAGAGGGUGAUCGGCCACACUGGAACUGAGACACGGUCCAGACUCCUACGGGAGGCAGCAGUAGGGAAUCUUCCGCAAUGGGCGAAAGCCUGACGGAGCAACGCCGCGUGAGUGAUGAAGGUCUUCGGAUCGUAAAACUCUGUUAUUAGGGAAGAACAUAUGUGUAAGUAACUGUGCACGUCUUGACGGUACCUAAUCAGAAAGCCACGGCUAACUACGUG
rnacentral:rRNA from 1 species